CAGGGUUCCCAGCACGCAUUAUCGUGCAGGGCCAACGGGUGGCCGACACCUGUCCUGAUAGGACCCCACCACUUAAUAAAACGUUUUUCUUUUCUUAAUUUACUGAAACCAGUUUUUCUUUGCCUUAUCCCGGCGUACCGCUGCUGCCACUCCCUCUUCCACAGCCACUCAUUCCACUGUGAGGGAGGAUUCCGACCGAGAAAUCCACCGUUCAGGUCCGUCGCCGGCGGCAAGACAGGAGCUGUAUAGCGCCGUCCGUCUCUGAUGCGCUUCGCCGCCCGGAGCUGUCACGGCUAGCGCCACCCGUCUCCGGCGCGAUUCGCCGCCAGGAGCCACGGGGUUCGAAGGCAGUAAGACAGGAAUCGCCGUCGCUCACCUCCGGCAUGCUGCGCGGCCUGGAGCCGUUGUCUUGGCUGGAGGCAAGAUGGGAUCCGUCGCGGCUAGCUCUGCUCGCCUAAGGCGCGCUGCGCCACGCCCGGCCGUGGACUUGGCCGGCAGCAAAACGGGGCCGUCGCGGCUAGUGUCGCUCGCCUCCGGCACACCCAAGGCCAGCCCAAGGUUGUGGCUGACCCGCUCCCUGUGAGGUGGUGGCACGGUGGAACUGCAGCGCGUGCAGCCGGUGGCUGAGAUUCCGCGGGAGGUCGCGCCGUCACAGUGGAAGAUGCGAACUCGAUGCAAACUCAACAAGCAAAGGCGCAAGAACAUACCUACGGACGAUGAAGUGGCAGGAGCUCCGUCCAUGCUGAAGAACACCGUAGAUGUUGAUCCACAGAGAGGACAAUUUCCUAUCAAUCUUGAUCUAUUCUCCUUUGAUCCGGGGGCAACAACAAUGGAAUAGAUUGGUAUGAGAAAGGAUGGAUGAAGUCACGAAGAGAUUUUGGCGGCAAUCUGGUGUUAGGCGGGAGAUAAACCUGUCGUUUUGCUGAUUUUUUAGAGCUAACUGCAAUUAGAGAGAUACGCUGGGUUGUUUAAGUGGUGGGGUCCUACCAGGACAGGUGUCGGCCACCCGUUGGCCCUGCACCAUAAUGCGUGCUGGGAACCCUGCAGGAGAGCCCGACCCACAAAAAUUACACCAACAUCCAUGGAGUCCGGAAGGGAUUGCGGCAACAGAUCAAGACGAUGCACGGACGAACAACCAACCAUGACCACUACAAAUAGCCGUCUGUCCAACAAGGAGAGCAUAGCUCGGGCGAUUAUUGUUAGGAUGUGUUUGGUACAACCAAAGGUAACGGGACUGGUAAUGGAAUCAGGUAGCGGUGGGAUCACAGCGUAAUAGGAGGAUUUGCUUUUCUGUUUGUUUCAUGCAUGUAAAGGUAUCAAGUUACAGAGCUAACAAGAUCUGCUGUGUAAUCAGAUUGCAAAAAAACAAAAAAAUCUCACAGAAUCGAAGCCAAGAACAAGCUAACAUGAUCUUGACGACAAUUAACUAGAGCAAUAAACAAAUCAUGGAGAGGGAUUUGGCCA